UACGUAGGGUGCGAGCGUUGCCCGGAUUUAUUGGGCGUAAAGGGCGCGUAGGCGGCUCGGCACGUCCGUUGUGAAAUCGCCCGGCUCAACUGGGCGGGGUCAGCGGAUACGGUCGAGCUUGAGCAAGCUAGGGGGCAAUGGAAUUCCCGGUGUAGCGGUGAAAUGCGCAGAUAUCGGGAGGAACACCAAUAGCGAAGGCAGCUCGCUGGGACGUUACUGACACUGAGGCGCGAAAGCGUGGGGAGCGAACAGG
rnacentral:rRNA from 1 species